ACUGCUCAGUAACACGUGGAUAACCUACCCUGAAGUGGGGGAUAAUCUCGGGAAACUGAGGAUAAUACCCCAUAGGUCUUCGAUACUGGAAUGUUCUUAGGUCAAAAGCUACGGCGCUUCCAGGAUGGGUCUGCGGCCUAUCAGGUUGUAGUGAGUGUAAAGGACUCACUAGCCGACGACGGGUACGGGCCAUGGGAGUGGUAGCCCGGAGAUGGAUUCUGAGACACGAAUCCAGGCCCUACGGGGCGCAGCAGGCGCGAAAACUUCGCAAUGCGCGCAAGCGCGACGAGGGGAUUCCAAGUGCAUGCACUCAGUGUAUGCUGUUUUCCAGUCUAAAAAGCUGGGAGAGUAAGGGCUGGGUAAGACUGGUGCCAGCCGCCGCGGUAAUACCAGCGGCCCUAGUGGUGAUCGUUAUUAUUGGGCCUAAAGCGUCCGUAGCCGGCUCGGUAAAUCUCUGGGUAAAUCGUUGGGCUUAACUCAACGAAUUCUGGGGAGACUGCCGGGCUUGGGACCGGGAGAGGUCGGAGGUACUCCAGGGGUAGGGGUGAAAUCCUGUAAUCCUUGGGGGACCACCGGUGGCGAAGGCGUCCGACCAGAACGGGUCCGACGGGUAAGGGACGAAGCCCUGGGGCGCAAACCGGAUUAGAUACCCGGGUAGUCCAGGGUGUAAACGCUGUGCGCUUGGUGUUGGGGGUCCUACGAGGGCACCCAGUGCCGGAGAGAAGUUGUUAAGCGCACCGCCUGGGGAGUACGGUCCCAAGACUGAAACUUAAGGAAUUGGCGGGGGAACAGCGCGACCGGAGGAACGUGCGGUUUAAUUGGAUUCAACGCCGGA
rnacentral:rRNA from 1 species